GACGAACGCUGGCGGCGUGCUUAACACAUGCAAGUCGAACGGAAAGGCCCUGCUUUUGUGGGGUGGUCGGGGUGGGGAAGGGGGGGUAAAACGUUGGUUAACCGGCCUUGGCUUUGGGGAAAAUUCAAGGAAAUUGGGGUUAUAACGGGUAAGGGCUCCUGGUGGCAGGUGGGGGGUGGGAAGUUUCGGCGGUUGGGGAUGGACUCGCGGCUUAUCAGCUUGUUGGUGGGGUAGUGGCUUACCAAGGCUUUGACGGGUAGCCGGCCUGAGAGGGUGACCGGCCACAUUGGGACUGAGAUACGGCCCAGACUCCUACGGGAGGCAGCAGUGGGGAAUAUUGCACAAUGGGCGGAAGCCUGAUGCAGCAACGCCGCGUGCGGGAUGACGGCCUUCGGGUUGUAAACCGCUUUCGCCUGUGACGAAGCGUGAGUGACGGUAAUGGGUAAAGAAGCACCGGCUAACUACGUG
rnacentral:rRNA from 1 species